UCGGAAGAAGGGAGCUUGCUCCCGGAUGUUAGCGGCGGACGGGUGAGUAACACGUGGGUAACCUGCCUGUAAGACUGGGAUAACUCCGGGAAACCGGAGCUAAUACCGGAUAGUUCCUUGAACCGCAUGGUUCAAGGAUGAAAGACGGUUUCGGCUGUCACUUACAGAUGGACCCGCGGCGCAUUAGCUAGUUGGUGAGGUAACGGCUCACCAAGGCGACGAUGCGUAGCCGACCUGAGAGGGUGAUCGGCCACACUGGGACUGAGACACGGCCCAGACUCCUACGGGAGGCAGCAGUAGGGAAUCUUCCGCAAUGGACGAAAGUCUGACGGAGCAACGCCGCGUGAGUGAUGAAGGUUUUCGGAUCGUAAAGCUCUGUUGUUAGGGAAGAACAAGUGCAAGAGUAACUGCUUGCACCUUGACGGUACCUAACCAGAAAGCCACGGCUAACUACGUGCCAGCAGCCGCGGUAAUACGUAGGUGGCAAGCGUUGUCCGGAAUUAUUGGGCGUAAAGGGCUCGCAGGCGGUUUCUUAAGUCUGAUGUGAAAGCCCCCGGCUCAACCGGGGAGGGUCAUUGGAAACUGGGAAACUUGAGUGCAGAAGAGGAGAGUGGAAUUCCACGUGUAGCGGUGAAAUGCGUAGAGAUGUGGAGGAACACCAGUGGCGAAGGCGACUCUCUGGUCUGUAACUGACGCUGAGGAGCGAAAGCGUGGGGAGCGAACAGGAUUAGAUACCCUGGUAGUCCACGCCGUAAACGAUGAGUGCUAAGUGUUAGGGGGUUUCCGCCCCUUAGUGCUGCAGCUAACGCAUUAAGCACUCCGCCUGGGGAGUACGGUCGCAAGACUGAAACUCAAAGGAAUUGACGGGGGCCCGCACAAGCGGUGGAGCAUGUGGUUUAWUUCGAAGCAACGCGAAGAACCUUACCAGGUCUUGACAUCCUCUGACAACCCUAGAGAUAGGGCUUUCCCUUCGGGGACAGAGUGACAGGUGGUGCAUGGUUGUCGUCAGCUCGUGUCGUGAGAUGUUGGGUUAAGUCCCGCAACGAGCGCAACCCUUGAUCUUAGUUGCCAGCAUUCAGUUGGGCACUCUAAGGUGACUGCCGGUGACAAACCGGAGGAAGGUGGGGAUGACGUCAAAUCAUCAUGCCCCUUAUGACCUGGGCUACACACGUGCUACAAUGGACAGAACAAAGGGCUGCGAGACCGCAAGGUUUAGCCAAUCCCACAAAUCUGUUCUCAGUUCGGAUCGCAGUCUGCAACUCGACUGCGUGAAGCUGGAAUCGCUAGUAAUCGCGGAUCAGCAUGCCGCGGUGAAUACGUUCCCGGGCCUUGUACACACCGCCCGUCACACCACGAGAGUUUGCAACACCCGAAGUCGGUGAGGUAACCUUUAUGGAGCCAGCC
rnacentral:rRNA from 1 species